AUUGAACGCUGGCGGCAGGCUUAACACAUGCAAGUCGAGCGGGGUGAUGGUGCUUGCACUAUCACUUAGCGGCGGACGGGUGAGUAAUGCAUAGGAAUCUGCCUAUUAGUGGGGGACAACAUCUCGAAAGGGAUGCUAAUACCGCAUACGUCCUACGGGAGAAAGCAGGGGAUCACUUGUGACCUUGCGCUAAUAGGUGAGCCUAAGUCGGAUUAGCUAGUUGGUGGGGUAAAGGCCUACCAAGGCGACGAUCUGUAGCGGGUCUGAGAGGAUGAUCCGCCACACUGGGACUGAGACACGGCCCAGACUCCUACGGGAGGCAGCAGUGGGGAAUAUUGGACAAUGGGGGGAACCCUGAUCCAGCCAUGCCGCGUGUGUGAAGAAGGCCUUAUGGUUGUAAAGCACUUUAAGCGAGGAGAAGGCUCUUUUGGUUAAUACCCAAGAUGAGUGGACGUUACUCGCAGAAUAAGCACCGGCUAACUCUGUGCCAGCCGCCGCCGUAA
rnacentral:rRNA from 1 species